UGGCUGGUCGUUGUCGCCGCAACUGCUGGCUGGCUGGCUGGCUGGCUGGCUGGCUGACUGGCUAGGCGGUGGGUUGGCGGGACGGCUGGGUGGUUUGCUUGCUGGCUGGGCUGGCUGGUGCGAUGCUGCACUACUACUGCUUGCGUGCAGUGAGCGUGUGUUGGCAGGGAUUGUGUUGCCGUGGCCAUGAAGAAGCACUGUCGUGUCAAGCUGGCAAGGCGAUGGUGUCACCUUUGAGCCAUGUCUGUGGUGUAACAGCUACAGGUGUGGACGGGUGUUGGGCAGCGCUCUGCACACGUUGUGGAGUCUGUCGGCUCGUCUGCAUGCCUUUGGAUGCCCUUAAAAAGGUGUCUGCGGGCGGAUGGCACGUUUACUUUGAACAAAUUUGAGUGCUCAAAUCAGGCCGAUGUUGCCUGAAAAGUUUUGCAUGGAAUAAUGGAAUAGGACUUCGGUUCUAUUUCGUUGGUUUUCGGAUCCGAAGUAAUGAUCAAAAGAGACAGGCGGGGACGUUUGUAUGGCUGCGCUAGAGGUGAAAUUCAUGGACCGUAGCCAGACAGACUAAAGCGAAAGCAUUCGUCAAGCAUGUUUUCAUUGGCCAUGAGCGAAAGUCAGAGGCUCGAAGACGAUCAGAUACCGUCCUAGUUCUGACCAUAAACGAUGCCAACUGACGAUCCGUGGUGGUAGUAGUGUUACCUUCCCCACGGGCAGUCCCCGGGAAACCUUUAAGUGUUUGGGUUCCGGGGGAAGUAUGGUUGCAAAGCUGAAACUUAAAGGAAUUGACGGAAGGGCACCACCAGGAGUGGAGCCUGCGGCUUAAUUUGACUCAACACGGGAAAACUCACCCGGGCCGGACACUGUGAGGAUUGACAGAUUGAGAGCUCUUUCUUGAUUUGGUGGUUGGUGGUGCAUGGCCGUUCUUAGUUGGUGGAGCGAUUUGUCUGGUUAAUUCCGAUAACGAACGAGACUCCAACCUGCUAAUUAGUGCGUUUGUCCACUGCGCCUGCGUAGGUGACGCUGGAUGACACCACCUGUCACGAGGACGUGGCAGCGGCUCUUCUCUCCCCUUCUCCGCUCGAAUGCCCUCCAGCGCCUCCUCCUCCUCCUCCUCUCUCCUCCCCCUUCUUCAGCGCCUCAUCUGGCCGGCUGGCUGGCCGGGUGAGGCGGUGGUGGCGGUGGCGGUGGUGAGGGCGAUGGGGUGGGGAUGGUGCGGGGGGCGAGUGGAUUGUGGUGGAGGCGUGGGGUUGGGUGCGGCGCUCGUGGCCGGUUAGUCUGGCGUUGGCCUCCGGGUGUGGCGCGAAUGCCUACUUCUUAGAGGGACAAGCGGGAGAAGCCGCACGAAAUAGAGCAAUAACAGGUCUGUGAUGCCCUUAGAUGUCCGGGGCCGCACGCGCGCUACAAUGACGGUGUCAGCGAGUCAGGCCUUCUGGCCCGAAAGGGUUGGGCAAACUGGUCAAUCACCGUCGUGACAGGGAUCGGGGCUUGGAAUUGUUCCCCGUGAACGAGGAAUUCCUAGUAAGUGCAAGUCAUAAGCUUGCGCUGAUUACGUCCCUGCCCUUUGUACACACCGCCCGUCGCUACUACCGAUUGAAUGGUUUAGUAAGGUCCUCGGAUUGGCGUCAUUGCGACGGUGGCCGAGAGGUCACAGCCCGAGGGGCGCUGAGAAGACGACCGAACUUGAUCAUUUAGAGGAAGUAAAAGUCGUAACAAGGUUUCCGUAGGUGAACCUGCGGAAG
rnacentral:rRNA from 1 species